GAUUACUAGUGAAUGAAUCAGGAACAUUGCAGCGUCUUGUAUGGAAUGAGACGAGCACUGAAUGGCGCAUGCUGUACUCUUGGCCAUUUGACACAUGUGACAGUUAUGCACAGUGUGGUGCUAAUGAUAACUGCAGAAUCAGUAAGACACCUAUUUGUGAGUGUUUGACAGGCUUUAUAUCCAAAUCACAGGAUGACUGGGAUUCACCUGAGACUAGGAGAUGUGUCAGGAAACCAUCAGAUUGUCCGAGUGGAGAAGGGUUUCUAAAGCUUCCAAGAAUGAAAUUACCUGAAAAUUAUUGGUCGAAUAAAAGUAUGAAUCUCAAGGAAUGUGAGGCAGAGUGCACCAAGAACUGUUCAUGCAGAGCUUAUGCAAAUUCAGAUGUUACUGGAGGAGGCAGUGGCUGUUUGAUGUGGUUUGGGGACCUGGUUGAUCUCAGAGAAUGCUCGGAAGGAUACAUCUGGGGACAGGAUUUUUUUAUAAGAGUUCCAUCUUCAGAACUAGGUAAGUGUUUUGAUUAAUGUUUUUCAGCCUAUUUCACGUUUAAUGCUGUUUUAGAGUUCACCCACAACGCCUUUAGCCAGCAUGUAAAACAAGAUUAAUAUUAGCGGAUACCCUAUACUUGCUAGUUUGCGUUGCAAAAGCAACUGGCAGUGGGCUUGUUUGGCAAAACCAAAUUAUUAAAAGAGAGAAAAGAAGAAGAAUAGUGUGCUCAAGAACUGACUAACAGCAAAUUGAUCUCUUUUCUUGAUUUUUUAUGUUCUAGUAUCAGUUAAGCAUUUGAAUACAAAGAAAAGAUUAAAGAUCAUAGUGGCAGUUUCAAUCAUUUCCAGCACGUUUAUCUUAGGCCUUCUACUCUGCAUAGCAUGGAAGAAAGCAAAGAACAAAGGUAACAGACUCUUCUGACCUUGUUGAUUUUCUAUGAUAAAUUUAAUAAUAUUAUUAUUAUUAUUUUGAGAACAAAACCAAAACUAAGUUAUUUGAAAAUUCUUCGAAACUCUUAAAUUCCGUAGUUCAGUAGAAACCUUUGUCAAUAUACAUCAACAAACUCAGAGAAAUUUUCUUAAACUUUCUCUGUAAAGAAGGUCAUGGAUGAAGAAAUCCGUGUUCUGAUUUGUCUAUAAUUUAGCCAAACCUAAUAAGAGCCUCUUAAAUUUAUCCUCUCAAAAAGAGUCGAAUUGAAAUACAGGUUAGACACUGACGAAUGAGUGUCACAAAGGAAUUUUCUUGAAAUACAACUUUAAAAGCAUUGUUUCUGUAGGCCUGGAGAACUGGAAGGUGGACAUAGAAGUACCUUUAUAUGAUCUGGCAACAAUUACUACCGCCACUAACCAUUUCUCCGAAGCCAACAUGAUUGGAAAGGGAGGAUUUGGUCCUGUUUACAUGGUAAAGAAUGUUAAUUAUAUAUGAAACCCUCAGCAGAAGCACAUUUGAACCCUGAAGUUAAUAGCAAAACAUGCACUAUCUGCAUGAAAAUACACAGGGAAAGCUUUCCACGGGACAGGAGAUUGCAGUGAAGAGGCUUUCAAAAAAUUCAGGACAAGGCCUCGAAGAAUUCAUGAAUGAAGUGGUUUUAAUUGGAAAGCUUCAACACAGAAAUCUUGUUGGCCUUCUCGGCAGCUGCAUUGAAGAGGAUGAAAGAAUGCUGAUCUAUGAGUAUAUGCCCCACAAAAGCUUGGAUUACUUUAUCUUUGGUAGCACUUCUUAUCCUAACAUCAGUCACUUAGUAGUUACACAUAUGCUAUUAAUUAUCCAAUAUGAUUUUAUUUUUUUUAUGUCAAGGUAAAAAUUGUAAAUUAUACACAACGUCAAAUUCAAGAGUUACUAAAGUUCACUAUAACCUGCAGAUCGUGAGAGAAGCAAGCUAUUGCCAUGGAAAAAGCGCUUUUCCAUAAUCACUGGGAUUGCCAGAGGACUUCUCUACCUCCACCAAGAUUCAAAGCUUCAAGUAAUACAUAGGGAUCUAAAAGCUAGCAACAUUUUGCUUGAUAUAAACCUGAAUCCUAAAAUUUCAGACUUUGGUUUGGCAAGAAUUUUCGGAGGAGAUGACGAAGAAGCACAGACAGAGAGAGUUGCAGGAACACAGUAAGUUUUGUUCCUGUAAUAUUAAUUAUUUAGCAUUCGAAAUAAAUUAUAUAGUUCAUACUUUGAUGCAGUGGCUAUAUGUCCCCUGAGUAUGCCAACGAUGGCACAAUUUCAAUGAAAUCUGAUGUCUUUAGCCUGGGAGUGCUCCUGGUUGAGAUUGUAAGUGGUAAAAUGAAUAGAGGCUUUCGCCACCCUGGUCACCGUCACAAUCUUAUUGGACACGUAAGUAGAAAGAAUGAGUGCUGCUUCCUCCUUCAAACAGAACUCACUCUUUUAAGUAUAUAAAGCAUGAUUGCUGCAAUAUUUUCAGGCAUGGUUGCUGUGGAAUGAUGGAAGAGCCCUAGAACUAAUGGACAUAUGUUUAGAAGAUUCUUUCGUUGAAUCUCAAGUUCUGAGAUGUAUUCAAGUGGGUUUAUUGUGUGUCCAAAAGUUACCUGAAGACAGGCCUGAUAUGUCAUCUGUAGUUUUCCUGUUGGCGAACGAUGGGGUCACGUUGCCUCAGCCUAGACAACCAGGUUUCUUCACCGAAAGAGGUUUCACUGUAGGUGCAUUAUCAAGUCAUGAAAAAUGUCACUCAGAAAAUGCAUUAAGUAUAACCAUUCAGGAAGGCAGAUAGCACUCUACAGCCUGGUUAAAUUGCAGUCUUGCUUUCAGACAUGCUAAUACGUGUAAAUUUUUAUCACUUCAUAAAAUUUAAGGUCUUCCUUUUCAUUGAAAAGCCAUAAGAAGUAAUUAAUUGUUUCCAUAAAUGAACUGGUGAUCAGAUUCAUAACCAUUGCUAGGAUGUCAAAAUAUUCAUGUUUGGGAACUGUAGAAAUUUUUGUCAUUUCAUAAAAUUUAAGGUCUUGCUUUUCAUUGAAAAACUUUAAGAAGUAAUUAAUUGUUUCCAUAAAUGGACUGGUGAUCAUUAUUCACAACCAUUGUAUGAUUAGGAUGUCAAAAUAUUCAAGUUUUGGAACUGUAAAUUAUGUAAGCAAUUAGUUGGUCUUAGUAUCCUAAUGCAAAGUUUGUUGAAUUUGCAAUUCUAUUCCAUAUAAUAGAUCAACCAACUUGUACACAAAGACAAACUGAUAAAAUCAACAAUUUUUAAACAUUUCAUUGUGCCAAACUAUCAGGAUGACUCCAAGAUACCUGCCUGUUCUGGGAAGACCUUUUGUUCCUGUUUCAAGUGUGGCAGCAGCUAUUAUGGCUGAAAUCCACUGAGAGGAAUUUGCCAAUCAAUUUGACUCCAAGAUACCUGCCUGGGCAUUCAAAACCGAAGCUGUAAUCCACUCAUCUCAUGUGGCACCAACUAUGUGAUAAAUUAAAUAUCAUCUUCUCAAUGAGAGGAAUUUGCCAAUCAAUCGACCCAAUAGAUGCCUAAAUGUAUACGCAGCAAUACGGUAGAGAAUUAUCUUCUCUACGAAUUCAGGAAACUGCAAAAUUAUUUCUUUUCCGAUGUUUCAAAUGCAUUUCCAUUUUGUCUUUUAUGCCAAACUCUCAAAAUAUUUUGGUCAACAUAGUGGGGUUUAUAGUUCCUUCA
rnacentral:lncRNA from 1 species